GUGGGUAUAGCUCAGUAGUAGAGUGCGUGCCUAGUGUACAUGUAGUCCUGGGUUCAAGCCCCAGAACCUCUG
rnacentral:tRNA from 1 species